CCCAGUUGUCAAGACAACAGUUCAUAAUUGUACCAGCUCUUUCCAUUGCAGCUAGACAUUUCAUAAAUAGAUAAUUCUCUAAUUGAUCCAGCCAAUCCUACUUUGCAUACCCUGCCAAACUAGCACAGACUCUUUAGUGCAGUCCUGAUUUCUGUAUUAAUGAAUUGAGAAGAUGACAUCAGGCUCUUAGCAUUCAUAAUAAAGCCGACGUGGUGUUUCACUGCAAUACGACAUCUCCAGUAAUCUUCUUAAGAGGUAAGCAGUGUUAGA